rnacentral:rRNA from 1 species
AACGUAGGAGACAAACGUUAUCCGGAUUUACUGGGCGUAAAGGGCGUGUAGGCGGUUGACUAAGUCUGGCGUGAAAGCUCGCGGCUAAACCGCGAGAGGUCGUUGGAUACUGGUUGACUAGAGGACGGUAGAGGCGUGUGGAAUUCCGGGUGUAGUGGUGAAAUGCGUAGAGAUCCGGAGGAACACCAGUGGCGAAGGCGACACGCUGGGCCGUACCUGACGCUAAAACGCGACAGCAUGGGGAGCGAACGGG